GCUCCUGUGGCCUAGUGGUUAGAGCGUCCGUCUUGGAUGUGGGAGAUCGUAGGUUCAAACCCAAGCCGAGUC